GAGAACUGCUCUGUGGUUUAGGUAGUUUCAUGUUGUUGGGGAUCCACCUUUCUCUCUACAGCACGAAACUGCCUUAAUUACUUCAGUUGAU
rfam:Buceros rhinoceros silvestris contig20127, whole genome shotgun sequence.